rnacentral:rRNA from 1 species
AUUCGCCCUUAGAGUUUGAUCCUGGCUCAGGAUGAACGCUGGCGGCGUGCCUAAUACAUGCAAGUCGAGCGAUGAGGCUCCCUUCGGAGGGUAUCUCCGCGGAAAGGGGGAGUGUAACAUGUGUGUGUUGUCCCCCAAAUGGGGAUAUCCUCUGGAAACGGGGGCUAUAAUACCCUGUGUGCUCAGAUUCUCACUCUGUUGAAAAGCUCUAUGCGCUUCUUGAGAUGGCUGCGGCCCCUCUCCUAUUUGUGGUGGGGACGGGCUACCCCGGCGCAAACAGGGAGGGGGCGUGUGAGAGCGCACCCCCCCACUGUGGCUGUGAUACGGGCCACACACUUACAGGAGGCGCCACUAUGGGAUAUUGUGCACUGUGCAAGAGUCUCACACACCGACACCCCGCGGGCGAUAAAAGCGUUCUGGUUGCAAAGCCCUUUUUUGGGGGAAAAGAAAAAGGACGGUACCCCAGGAAUAAGUCCCGGCUAACUACGUGCCAGCAGCCGCGGUAAAACGUAGGGGACAAGCGUUAUCCGGAUUCACUGGGCGUAAAGAGCGUUGAGGCGGUUUUGUAAGUUGGGCGUGAAAGCUCUGGGCUUAACUCAGAGAUGUCGUUCAAUACUGCGAGGCUUGAGGACAGCAGAGGAAGGUGGAAUUCCCGGAGUAGCGGUGAAAUGCGUAGAUAUCGGGAGGAACACCCGUGGCGAAGGCGGCCUUCUGGGCUGCUCCUGACGCUGAAGGCGAAAGCUAGGGGAGCGAACGGGAUUAGAUACCCCGGUAGUCCUAGCUGUAAACGAUGGAUGCUGGGUGUGGGGGGUGUAAAUUCCCUCUGUGCCGAAGCUAACGCGUUAAGCAUCCCGCCUGGGGACUACGGCCGCAAGGCUAAAACUCAACGAAUUGACGGGGG